rnacentral:rRNA from 1 species
CCUACGGGCGGCAGCAGUGAGGAAUAUUGGUCAAUGGGCGGGAGCCUGAACCAGCCAAGUCGCGUGAGGGACGAAGGUCCUAUGGAUUGUAAACCUCUUUUGUCGGGGAACAAAGGCGCCCACGCGUCGGCGGAUGAGUGUACCCGAAGAAAAAGCAUCGGCUAACUCCGUGCCAGCAGCCGCGGUAAUACGGAGGAUGCGAGCGUUAUCCGGAUUUAUUGGGUUUAAAGGGUGCGAAGGCGGGCUGUUAAGUCAGCGGUAAAAAUCCGGUGCUCAACGCCGUACAGCCGUUGAAACUGGCAGUCUUGAGUGGGAGAGAAGUAUGCGGAAUGCGUGGUGUAGCGGUGAAAUGCAUAGAUAUCGCGCAGAACUCCGAUUGCGAAGGCAGCAUGCCGGCGCCAUACUGACGCUGAGGCACGAAAGCGUGGGUAUCGAACAGGAUUAGAUACCCUUGUAGUC